rnacentral:rRNA from 1 species
GAUGAACGCUAGCUACAGGCUUAACACAUGCAAGUCGUGGGGCAGCGGAUGCUUAGCUUGCUAAGUAUGCCGGCGACCGGCGCACGGGUGAGUAACGCGUACCGAACCUGCCCAUCACACAGGGAUAGGCUUGCGAAAGCAAGAUUAAUACCUGAUGGUCUCAGUUGUAUGCAUGUAUGAUUGAGUAAAGCCUUCGGGCGGUGAUGGAUGGCGAUGCGUCCCAUUAGGAAGUUGGCGGGGUAACGGCCCACCAAUCCUUCGAUGGGUAGGGGUUCUGAGAGGAAGGUCCCCCACAUUGGAACUGAGAUACGGUCCAAACUCCUACGGGAGGCAGCAGUGAGGAAUAUUGGUCAAUGGGCGAGAGCCUGAACCAGCCAAGUAGCGUGCGGGAUGAAGGCCCUUGUGGUCGUAAACCGCUUUUAUCAGUGAAUAAAGUGCACCACGUGUGGUGUCAUUGCAGGUAGCUGAAGAAAAAGGACCGGCUAAUUCCGUGCCAGCAGCCGCGGUAAUACGGAAGGUCCGGGCGUUAUCCGGAAUUAUUGGGUUUAAAGGGAGCGCAGGCGGGAGUAUAAGUCAGCUGUUAAAUAUCAGGGCCCAACUCUGUUAUGCAGUUGAAACUAUAUUUCUUGAGUACGCACAGGGAUGGCGGAAUUCAGGGUGUAGCGGUGAAAUGCUUAGAUAUCCUGACGAACUCCGAUCGCGAAGGCAGCCAUCCGGAGCGUAACUGACGCUGAGGCUCGAAGGUGCGGGUAUCGAACAGGAUUAGAUACCCUGGUAGUCCGCACGGUAAACGAUGAAUACUCGCAGUUCGGCCGUUUAGGUCGAGUUGUCCAGCGAAAGCGUUAAGUAUUCCACCUGGGGAGUACGCCGGCAACGGUGAAACUCAAAGGAAUUGACAGGGGCCCGCACAAGCGGAGGAACAUGUGGUUUAAUUCGAUGAUACGCGAGGAACCUUACCGGGCUGAACCAGAGUGCGGAGUGCAGAGAUG